rnacentral:rRNA from 1 species
AUUGAACGCUGGCGGCAGGCCUAACACAUGCAAGUCGAACGAGUGGCGGACGGGUGAGUAAUGUCUGGGAAACUGCCUGAUGGAGGGGGAUAACUACUGGAAACGGUAGCUAAUACCGCAUACCAUCGGAUGUGCCCAGAUGGGAUUAGCUAGUAGGUGGGGUAAAGGCUCACCUAGGCGCCGAUCCCUAGCUGGUCUGAGAGGAUGACCAGCCACACGGGAACGGAGACAAGGUCCAGAAUCCUAAGGGAGGCAGCAGGGGGGAAUAUUGGAAAAGGGGCGCAAGCCUGAUGGAGCCAUGCCGCGUGGAUGAAGAAGGCCUUAGGGUUGUAAAGUACUUUCAGCGGGGAGGCGGUACCCGCAGAAGAAGCACCGGCUAAAUUCGGGCCAGGAGCCGGGGUAAUAC